GACGAACCGUACGAACGUUAUUCGGAAUUACUGGGCUUAAAGGGUGCGUAGGCGGCGCGGAAAGUAGGGUGUGAAAUCCCUCGGCUCAACCGAGGAACUGCGCCCAAUACUGUGAGACUUGAGUGUCGGAGAGGAUAGUGGAAUUCCCAGUGUAGAGGUGAAAUUCGUAGAUAUUGGGAGGAACACCAGUGGCGAAGGCGGCUAUCUGGACGAACACUGACGCUGAGACACGAAAGCGUGGGGAGCAAACAGG
rnacentral:rRNA from 1 species